rnacentral:lncRNA from 7 species
CUAUUCUGGAUUGGCGCCUGCAUAACAGACCGCCAGACGAGCAAGCCACAGAGGAUCAAGGGCUUCAACAGGUGGAGACUGCUGAGCAGGAGCUCAUUGAAGGCAAGUUGUGCCCUUGAUCACUUCCUUUUUACUCAGUCAUGUUCUUAUUAAUCAUAAUGAUCUGCAUAGGUUAAUUUGAUGGGAUCCAAUAGGUUACCCUAGUUUUGGCUAUCUUUAUACCUUGUUUUACCACUGAAUUGUUUGGGUAGUAUAUGCUAUUGCUUUAUGUGGUUAUGCGUAUAGAGAUAUAUAUUACUCAUGUUCACACUUUUGUUAUAAGUUUAUUAUUUACUAUUCAUGAUAAGAUCAUUAUGUUAAUGGGAACAUGGAGAACCACUCGGGAAAACAGUGUCACCACAAGGGUGGUAUGGGACACCCUUGGCUGACUAAUUAGGAAAGCUAGUGGAAUACUACCUUACCUGAAAGGGGCAAGGGCAGUAGGGGAGUUGCAUGCAGGGAGGUUCUCGGGUUGAUUUUGCUGCGAUGGCGGUCAGACGAGGGAAUCUUGUAAGUUCUCUUCCCAUAAACUGUAGCGGGUUUUUGGAAGCUAGUGGAACUUUGUAAAGGCCUCGUAGUGGAUCCCUAGCCAUUCAUCUCGGUAGUGUCUAAGGGCCUUGCAAACCCUAGCGACAUGGGAUACACGACUUGUGGGUACAGGGUACAACCUCUACAGAGUGUAAAACUGGUAUACUAGGCAUGCUCACGGUCAUGAGCGACUCGGACACUCACAUGAUUAAUUUAUUGAAUUAAAUUCAAUUUGUAAUUUACAUCGCAUUGGGAUUACUUUAUUAUUAUUUCUAUUUAUUAUUACUAAGGUUUGGUAUUUACUUGCACUUAGUAACUGCUAAUAAAAUUUUGUAUUAUUAUUUUGUAAUACUUCCGCUAUUUAAUAAGUACUCUGAUUAUAUUGUGACAUUUAUCUCUAUACACUCUGUUAUUAUAUGUGUUUUCUUCUUUGGCGUAUAUAUGAGAUGCACCCGACUUUGUCCCUUAAAUCUGGAUGUGACAGAAGUGCUUAAGGAAAAAUGCACGUGCAAAGACUCAGGCGCUACCUUCGCCCGCACAGGCCGGGGCGAAGACCAUCAAGGACUCCGGAGAUCGAACAAUCAGGACCACGAAGACCAUGCAUUGUAAUCUUCCACAUUGUAAAAGGGGCCUCGUUUAUAGUUCGGCCCUUGUCACAGGGUCCCGACCAUAGGUCGCCAUGCUGGCAGGGCUGAUAGAGGGUUGGCCCAUGUCUGUAAUUGAUUACGCUGUAAUGACCCACCAUAACCCCCCAAGGGGAAAUAUUCUGGCCAUAACCUAG